CUAUAUCUUCUGGUAUCGACAUUUCCCCAACCAGGGACCACAAUAUAUCAUUCAAGGAUAUAAGACAAACGUGGAAAAUGAAGUGGCAUCUCUGUUCAUUCCUACUGACAGGAAGAGAGAAGAUACAGGUGCCGGGAAGCAGCAGGCGGCGUUUGUAAAACGCUGUGCUCGUGGGGAACAUAGUCUCUGGGGUGGUGCCCUAUCUCCAGCAGAGGUGAGCUGCAGAAGAGCCCCCAUCCAGCCCAGCGGGAGCCAUGGCCUCUGCGCACAUCUGGACACUUGGGAUUCUGUUUAUGCUCAGUGGACUGAGAGCUCAGUCGGUGACUCAGCCAGAAGAUCAGGUCCCUGUCGCGGAAGGGGAUCCAGUGACUGUGAAGUGCACCUAUUCAGUGUCGGGGAGCCCUUAUCUUUUUUGGUAUGUCCAACAUCGCAAUCAAGGUCUCCAGUUCCUUCUGAAAUACAUCGGAGGGGACAAGUUGGUUCAAGGCAACUAUGGAUUUGAGGCUGAAUUUAACAAGAGCCAAACCUCUUUCCACCUGAAGAAACCAUCUGUUGCAGGGAGUGACUCUGCCUUGUACUUCUGUGCUGUGAGCGACACAGUGGUGGGGGCCGCCGGCAGAGCUGAAUACAAACCCUUGAGCACAGAACACCAUGCUCCUGAAGCCUUGAUAUCCCUCCACAAGGUGGUGUUGUGGCUCCAGGAUUUGUCCUUCAUUAUAACUAAGAGAAUUUUUUUUUUCUAAACCCACAAAAUUUGUUCAUUUGACAGGUAUAUAUUGAAAUAAAUGCUUGUGUGCCAGCUACUCUGCUGAGCACUGAUCAUAAAGAGGUGAAAGAAAGCAUCCUUGAUCUGCAGAUGCCAGGUGUGAUCCCAAACAUUUGUGAAGCCCUUUAAUUCUCACAACUCUCCUCAUGAGCUUCACUUUAUAGUUGAAGGCAUUCAAGCUCAGAGAAUUUACCUGUCUUAAGUCACAGAACUGCUCAACAAUAAAUUGAAACCCAGGCAGCCUGCCUCUCAGAAGUGUAGUCUAACCACUCCACUUCUCCUCAGCCUAUAGGCUC